AUCUUCAGUAGAAACCCUGAGUGAGCUGCAGGCUGCAGGAGGGGAGGCCUUAAACACCUCACACCACACACCUGCCCACUCAUCUGUUUUCAAUUAGGUGGCCUUCAGGUGCAAUGGAGUGCUGGGAAUCAUGACUCCUUGAAGGGGGCCGGACCUCAUGGAUGUAUCUCUCGUUAUCCAGUUUUUAUUAAGGGGAUGGGGGUUACCCAGUUUAUCUGCAAAAUAACCACUAGCAUAAUGAUGAUUUGGAUCAGAUUGAAACUAGGUGUCACAUCAUUAUCAUUUCUUCUUGCGUGCGUGGUGUAGCAGCACUCAAUAACUGGUAUUUCCAGACCUAAUGUCAAUAACAUGCAUUGUUAACAAUACCCAAGGUGACACCAUAUCCCCCGUGCUUCGCAGUGAACUGACUUAAGAUUGAAUGUGUGGAAUGUGUUGAGCCCCACGCGCACACAGAGCACACACGAAAAGGGAGCGUGCACUUCAACAGCAUUCAAACUGAAUUAGGGGAAUAAUGAAGGCAACACUGGCGCAUAGCCUGAGGGAAAGUAAAAUUUCUCAAAUUAAAGACUUUAAGUGAUGACAACCACUUGCUGUUUAUGGUAAAUGGCUUCAAAUACACAUUAAACAAUUCUGAGAGGAACAAUGGGGCAUUAUUAUUGGACAAAGGCUUACAUUGAUAUCAAUGUAGUGCAUGAAGGGUGAGAAGUUCCCCCUUGUCCUUCUUGUAGAAGGGAAUGUUCUCACAGUUCAUGUCACUGGUGUGGAUUUUAUUUAUAUAGGGCAGGCGGUGAAUGAAAUGUGGGCGCACUGAUAAAAAGAACUGCUCUCAGACAAGUAGGACUCGGCUCCCUUAUUUCAUAUCAAAGAGCCAUUAAAAUGAAUGGCAUCGUUUACAAACAUCACAACACAAGCACAAAAUAAAAAACAAAUAAACGAGGUAUCGUGCGUGUCCGAGAUUUUGUGUGACUAUCACUCUCAAGAGUUUUUAUUUGAGGUAAAUAUUUCAUAGUUUAUUGACAAUGGUGCCAAAGUUCAUGGAGUCAGGGUUACAGGUUUUAGCGUCAACUUGGAAACUCUCCAUGACACAUGGUCAUCCACUUCAUUUAAAUCAGGAUGCAAUGUGACAUUUAUAGUUUUGGCAAAUUUAGGUGGAUGGGUGCCUCCAUGUCAUGAAACAGCCAGUUCGUUCCUCCCAUUUCUGUCAACAUAGAAUCUCAAAAAAAACUUGUGGGAAUUUCAUCAACUUUAGUAGAAUUGUUUAGUUGGACAAGUAUUUCUUCUGUUGAACAUGAUAUCUCACGUCUGUCUUGAAGGAACUUCUUCAAAUUUCCCCCAGUUCUCAUUUGAAAAAAAAAAUAAACUGAUUAGAUUUCAGUGGUCAAAGGUCGAAGGUCACGGUGACUUCAUAUUACUGUGAAUGCAAUAUACCAGGAACACCUAGAUGGACUGAGGCUGCACUGGUUGACAGAGGCAUAGCUGCAAUGUGAUACUUCUAAUUUAGUACUUUAUUGUUUUAUGAAUAUGACAGUGGUAAAUCCUCAGUGAUGCUGAGGUCAAUGGACCAUGAUUCUGGUACAAGAGUAGAACAUAAAGCUUUUUAUAUCUGUAGUUUGCAAAACCUGCUUUCCACAACACAGAGUUAGACAAUGAUAUCCACAGAAGCUUAACAUUGUGUUGUUAUUGUGUAUCAGUCAAGCUCGUAUCCACAAUGUCAUGGACUGUACAGUGUCCGUCAGUCAUUGCUUUCUGUCAGGGAAAUGAUUGAAUCUAACUUUCCUGUUUUAGAAAUUAACAGAUCCUCCUGUCCUGACAUACAGCUAUGCUUAAAGUGCAGUUGGAUUGACCUGAAAACAUAUGCCUGAUACCAGGAAACGUUUUUUAGUCUGAACCUAAACGUCCUUGUGACUAUUUGAUUUUCUGCCCAGUGUCUAUUCACUCAGGAGAGGGGGGGAUGUCUGAGCGCUGGACACGUCCUGCCGGCAUGAUAUCGAAAGGAUGACGUGGAGCCCCCCGAGCGGUGCUUAAAAGCUGGCACAUCUCACCAUUUGUCAGGUCCCUGAAACCUGCAUUGGUUUUGAGGAUUCUGUCCCCGAUGGGCCAGAGUGAGGAGACGCUAUGCAGCACCUGUUCUACGUACAAAAAACUGGGGUCACCCAUUGUUUGUGGCCCCCUUCGCAGCUUGAAACUAUAACUGGCUCUUAGUUGUGAGCACCUGGACGCUGAUAGCAUUAAUGGAUUACUCUUUGUCGAUUCCCUCACGUCGUCACGUGGCUCCACAGGCCACUGGUAGACCGGUGGGAAGUGGGUCGGCUCAGCAUUAGCUGCCAUGAAGGUUACAGUCUGCCUGCUGCUGCAGCAAUAAGCUCUGUCUGCCUGUACUUCAUUGUUGGAGUUGAUUUCACUCAAACUACAUAGGGAAAGCUUACCUGUCUGUCCCCCUCAUCAUAUUCUCCCCUGAAUUUAUCCUCCUGUUCCUUAUCUCACCACCUGGAAGCUCUCGCAACAUGGCAGAGGCCCCCUCGUUCAUUGACGAUGGUCUGCCUGUCCAGUGGAAUAAUUCCAUUCGACCCAGCAGGAAGCUUGGAUGCUCCAAUAUCUUUGCGGGGGUCAACGUGCAUCAACUGCGCAGGCUGUUCAGAAGAGCAGGAGACAGAGAUGCUAAGCAGCGGGCGAAGCUGGUGUGGCGUGGAGUGGAUGCAGAUAUUGAGGGAGCAGAGGAGACGAGGGAGAGGGACGAGAGAGAGGACGAGGCAGGACUCGCCAGGGCCUUGGUGGGGCUCAGAGUCCGAACAAGGAAUAGAGCCGGCAUCAGAGUGGAAGGACACAGAGACCAAAAGCAGCCUAGAGCCUCAGGAUAUGUCAGGCCUGAGGAGCCGUUAUCAGACUGCUCUGUCAAGGAUGAAGAGACUGCCUUGGCGCCAAGUCCGGAAGAAUUCCUGUUGGAUGCUGAGGAAGAUAUCCCAGAAAACCCAAAUCCCUUCAAACCUUCCUCAUGGAGGUUGGGUUCGGCCAGAAAGGACAGUGCCCAAGACUCUAAGCGAUACCUUCACCGCAUCCUCCACUAAAAGCUGCCUGGAGUUUGAAAUAACACACACGUGUAGAAAAUGGGACGGAGUUGUGAAUUAGGAGUGAUUAUGUGUGAAAGUUCACAAUUUAUUCCUGACUUUAGACCCUUUCUGCUAACAUGUACUCUACAUAUUCGACCCCAGCACAAGCAGUCUGGUAAACCCCCUGUGGGAUUAGUACAACGCUUAUAGUUAAACCAAAUACAGGCAUGUUGGCUGCAGACAAGCACAAUCAACAUUAUUAUAUCAGUUGGGAACUAGAAUAGCACUCAGAAGUGUGCCGACCAACAUCCCCAUUAAUUUCAAUCAAGCUGCACCGGAUUAACAUAAAUAUAGUUCCCAAAAUAUGCCUUGUUUUUUCCACAAAUCCAUGAAUUAUUUUGUGGGAAAUUAGUGAAAACCUUAAAAAAAAAAGCUCCCUCUAAUGCAAUGUUAAAGAAAGUGAUUACAAGUUUCCUGGAUUGUUACCAAAAUGUUUUGGGUUCUUUCCUGAGCCGGAAAACAUCCUUAACAGUUUCAUUGUAAUCCCUAGUUGUUUCACAGUCAUUUUUGAGUAAUCCUUAUGACUAUCAGACAAACACCAGUUGAAGCACAACCACCUUGGUGAUGGUAGUGAACGCUGUUUGUUCCUUCCCUUAAAAAAAAAACACCAACUCCAUGUGGAGUAAAGUUACCAUCAUUCUUUUAAACCUUGCAAUAACUGAUCUUUUUAGCCUGUUGGGGAAAACAGAACCAAGUGGUGUACCCAAGCUGACAUAAUACCAAGUAAAUAAGGCAAUGUUUUUAAUUCUCUAGUGUAGCGGAUCGGGAACAACAUUAGCAUUCCGUUGGGAAUCAUGUUUCUGUCCACCUGGCAAAUGGGAGACAAAUGCUCACUGUCUUUCCGCUGUUAGAUCUCCACAAACCCCUGAGGAAAUAUUUGUCUCUUUAGCUAAUGAAGGCUCCACUUUAUUCACCAGCCACCGAAUGUGUGCAUAUGCGUGUGUGUGUGUGUGGGGGUGUCUCUGCCAACCUGUGCUGGCUUUGCCGGAGCUUUUUCCACUGAAAACCACUGCCUGCAGCGGCUGGAAGCACAGCUGAUGAGAGCUGUGAGAAAGAACCAAAAUAGUAAUGUGAAACCAAAACAAAUUAGCUAGAAGGAACUGCAGAGUCAGGUGAGGAUUCUCUGUGGAACCACCACAAGCAGCUCCGAUCACAAACACCUUCUGUAGUCACUUGACCCAUCCGUACUGUAAAACCAUUGAUAAGAGCAGCUGUAAAAGUUGAUCGACUGUGAGAAUCAUUGAUAACAUGUCUAACAUUGUCUGCAGCUGUAAUGAUAAGCAGUAUACAAGAACAGUAAAGCACCUCAAGUCUGGCAUAAUUAAUCAUAUUUGUGUUUUGUCCCUUUUCUCAUUCACAAACACACCAAGUCAUCUGUCUCAAUGCAUUCAUACAGGUCCUCUUCCAGGUCUUUGAUGAAAUUCGGGUCAGACAGCUUGGGCAGGACCAACUCUCGGAUUUCAUGGGAAAAAGGAACUUUGGCCUGGGAAAGCCACGCCCAGUAGAACGGGUCUGGUGAUGGGACAAUACCACUGUGAAUUAACGACUCUAAACAUCAUGUGUAAAAACAUAGAGGCUCUCCAGGAGUCAGGGUGUUUGAGGGGGAAGGCGAGGCCAUUGUCUAUGGCUGCCAGUUUGAUGAUGGGAUCCUUCACUACCACCCAGUCUGAGUCCUGCAGAGAGCGUGAUCCAUUGGACAGUCGUACUUCAGCAGCCAGUUGUCGUUUCCCCUGUCUGCAAAAGCAAAUAACAGAUUCAAAUUCAACCCGGGAUACGAAGCCUGUCAAAUGUACAUACAUUCCUUUAAGUAUGAUGUCCUUUAAACUCUCCCAGAUCAUAUAACAACAUAUUAGAAAAGUAACAAUCAGGAAAUUGCACCUCAACCAUAAAAAAUUAAAGUACUUCUGAAGAACA